GACGAACGCUGGCGGCGUGCUUAACACAUGCAAGUCGAACGAUGAACCCGGAGCUUGCUCCGGUGGAUUAGUGGCGAACGGGUGAGUAACACGUGAGUAACCUGCCCUUGACUCUGGGAUAACUGCGGGAAACUGUAGCUAAUACCGGAUACGACCCUCGGCGGCAUCGCCAGGGGGUGGAAAGAAUUUCGGUCAAGGAUGGACUCGCGGCCUAUCAGCUAGUUGGUGAGGUAACGGUUCACCAAGGCGACGACGGGUAGCCGGCCUGAGAGGGUGACCGGCCACACUGGGACUGAGACACGGCCCAGACUCCUACGGGAGGCAGCAGUGGGGAAUAUUGCACAAUGGGCGCAAGCCUGAUGCAGCAACGCCGCGUGAGGGGUGACGGCCUUCGGGUUGUAAACCUCUUUUAGUAGGGAAGAAGCGAAAGUGACGGUACCUGCAGAAAAAGCACCGGCUAACUACGUGCCAGCCGCCGCGGUAA
rnacentral:rRNA from 1 species